rnacentral:rRNA from 1 species
GACGAACGCUGGCGGCGUGCUUAACACAUGCAAGUCGAACGGUAAGGCCCUUUCGGGGGUACACGAGUGGCGAACGGGUGAGUAACACGUGGGUGAUCUGCCCUGCACUUUGGGAUAAGCCUGGGAAACUGGGUCUAAUACCGGAUAGGACUACGCGAUGCAUGUCGUGUGGUGGAAAGCUUUUGCGGUGUGGGAUGGGCCCGCGGCCUAUCAGCUUGUUGGUGGGGUGAUGGCCUACCAAGGAGACGACGGGUAGCCGGCCUGAGAGGGUGUCCGGCCACACUGGGACUGAGAUACGGCCCAGACUCCUACGGGAGGCAGCAGUGGGGAAUAUUGCACAAUGGGCGCAAGCCUGAUGCAGCGACGCCGCGUGGGGGAUGACGGCCUUCGGGUUGUAAACCCCUUUCAGCACAGACGAAGCGUAAGUGACGGUAUGUGCAGAAGAAGCACCGGCCAACUACGUG